rnacentral:rRNA from 1 species
ACGGGAGGCAGCAGUGGGGAAUAUUGGACAAUGGGCGAAAGCCUGAUCCAGCGACGCCGCGUGAGUGAAGAAGUAUUUCGGUAUGUAAAGCUCUAUCAGCAGGGAAGAUAAUGACGGUACCUGACUAAGAAGCCCCGGCUAACUACGUGCCAGCAGCCGCGGUAAUACGUAGGGGGCAAGCGUUAUCCGGAUUUACUGGGUGUAAAGGGAGCGUAGACGGUAUGGCAAGUCUGAUGUGAAAACCCAGGGCUCAACCCUGGGACUGCAUUGGAAACUGUCAAACUAGAGUGCAGGAGAGGUAAGUGGAAUUCCUAGUGUAGCGGUGAAAUGCGUAGAUAUUAGGAGGAACACCAGUGGCGAAGGCGGCUUACUGGACUGUAACUGACGCUGAGACGCGAAAGCUAGGGGAGCGAACAGGAUUAGAUACCCUGGUA